rnacentral:lncRNA from 7 species
AAGGACAGCUUCCCAGGAGCUCUCACCUAACAAUUCCUUACACAGCCUCAAGUUCGCUCUCUCAGAGCUCGGGGUCCUGAGCCGCCUCUGCACCGAGUGCUGAAUGGCAGCACAUCCCCGGGGUGGUCACAGAAGCAGAACAGCCGCCAGCACAGGCCUGGGGCACUGUGGGAAGGUAUUGCAGCUCGGGUGCAGCACGUGGCUGUGAAGGAACCUCGUGGAGAUGCUCCCACAGCCAGGAACCUCUGCAGGGCAGCGGAACACCCGGCGGUGGAUGGGGCCCCAGGAUGGAAGCACCGGGGUGGAUCCCGACCGGCAGUGUCAGGCUGCAGCAGCGGUGUCCUGCAAGCAGGAGCCUCCCACCAGCAGCACAGCGCAGCCGUACAGCCCCUGACCCCGGCACGGAGAAUUCCUCCCAGUUCCUCAUCAAUCGAGCAUUCUGGGUUCACAGUCUGCGCAUUUCCUUCUGAGCUCAGCGCUCCAGGUGCGCAGUCAGCCCACGCUUACCGUUGUAUCUCCAUCCUAAUCCCAUCAACCUGUCACCUGUCUCCCACUCUCUCUUUUCACUGUGUCUGCCCGUCCAUUUCUCUGGUCCCGGAGCCUCUCGCUAUCUGCUCACCUGCUUGUGCAACCGUAUCCUCAGUGCUAUGCGAUGCUGGAGAAGGAAACACGAUUGUAACUCUCACGGUAGGGAUCGGUACGUCAGUAUCAAAACCAAUACAUGAGUUUAGCC